rnacentral:rRNA from 1 species
GAUGAACGCUGGCGGCGUGCCUAAUACAUGCAAGUCGAGCGAACGGAUGAGAAGCUUGCUUCUCUGAUGUUAGCGGCGGACGGGUGAGUAACACGUGGAUAACCUACCUAUAAGACUGGGAUAACUUCGGGAAACCGGAGCUAAUACCGGAUGAUAUUUUGAUCCGCAUGGUUCAAUAGUGAAAGACGGUCUUUCUGUCACUUAUAGAUGCAUCCGCGCUGCAUUAGCUAGUUGUUAAGUUCACGGCUUACCAAGGCAACGAUGCCUAUCCGACCUGAGAGGGGGAUCGGCCACCUUGGAACGGAGACACGGUCCAGACUACUACGGUAGGCAGCAGUAGGGAAUCGUCCGCAAUGGUCGAGAGCCUGACGGAGCAACGGCGCGUGAGUGAUGACGGCGUUCGGAGCGGAAAACUCUGUUAUGAGGGAAAAACAGAUUUGGAAGGAACUGUGCACAGCGUGACGGUACUUAAUCAGAAAGCCCCGGCUAACUACGUG